rnacentral:misc_RNA from 1 species
UAGCUGUAGGUGAACCUGCAGCUGGAUCAUUACACAAUAAUACAAGAUAGGGUCGACAUGCAUCAUUGCGUGCGACAACGGCUAAUUUGGUUUCUAGGUGCUGCCAAGGGGGCGUAUGGCCGUGUUCCCGUAUAAAGGUGGUGCGAUAGCGGCACGUGUGUGUUGUAGAAUUCAAGAGGUCCUCUAAUGGAUACCGCCAAACUUUUGGAGUAGUAUACACUUAAUGUGUUGAAGUUGAAAAUUAUAUAGUCUCAUCGGUGGAUCACUCGGCUCGU